GCCCCCAUAGCCCAACGGCAGAGGCAGACGACUUAAAAUCGUUUCAGUCUGGGUUCGAGUCCCAGUGGGGGCA
rfam:Rathayibacter sp. VKM Ac-2121 genome assembly, contig: Ga0139026_12